rnacentral:rRNA from 1 species
CCUACGGGAGGCAGCAGUCGAGAAUCAUUCACAAUGGGGGAAACCCUGAUGGUGCGACGCCGCGUGGGGGAAUGAAGGUCUUCGGAUUGUAAACCCCUGUCAUGUGGGAGCAAAUUAAAAAGAUAGUACCACAAGAGGAAGAGACGGCUAACUCUGUGCCAGCAGCCGCGGUAAUACAGAGGUCUCAAGCGUUGUUCGGAAUCACUGGGCGUAAAGCGUGCGGAGGCUGUUUCGUAAGUCGUGUGUGAAAGGCGGGGGCUCAACCCGCGGACGGCACAUGAUACUGCGAGACUAGAGUAAUGGAGGGGGAACCGGAAUUCUCGGUGUAGCAGUGAAAUGCGUAGAUAUCGAGAGGAACACUCGUGGCGAAGGCGGGUUCCUGGACAUUAACUGACGCUGAGGCACGAAGGCCAGGGGAGCGAAAGGGAUUAGAUACCCUUGUAGUC